rnacentral:lncRNA from 1 species
AUGUCUUUGGUAAAAAGAAAAAGAAAAAGAAAAUUAAUCAAUUUAAACAUUGGCUUUGCAGAGACCUGUAAUGGGCAAAUGGCCAAGGAAACUCUGCUGCAAAGAAUGUUGCUGGAUGCAUGGAGGGAGCUGAGUUUUCUUCAGAUUAGCUUUUUGUCUAUGCACUGUUUCACAUUGAAAAAAGAAUCACAUGUAUGGAGAAUGAAAAACUUUAUAGGGAAAUAAUGGUUUUGUCUGUUCUUGAUUUCUUACAUAUUCGGUUACUUUCUGAAUAUAUCAUAUGGAUUAUUGUACUCCAAAUGCAUUUUGGGGUAGACAUCUACCAACACAAUAAUCAGUAGUGUUUACAUUACAAUCAGACUUGACUCAUGCCUGUAAAUUCAUCCCAUUUUACUUAUUUACACACAGAUUUUCUUCCCACAUUUUCCCCCAACAGACCACAUAUAAUGCAAGGAAUGGUUCAGGAAAUCUGAACUCAAAUCUGCAAAAGUUGUAAAAUAUCAGGAUAAGGCUGCUGCUUAAGGUAGAAAAAUAACUGGUAGCUGGGAUUAGGAGGUGAUCACCCGUGGACUAACUCUGGAGGAAGAUCUGGGCUACUGUCAAUGUAUUUCAGCCCUAGAAACAGAAAGAAAUUUGAAUGGUGACCAUCAAGCAUCCCACACCUCCUUGUCUAGAUUGUGAAUCAGCCAAGAUAAAAUGAGCUUUUAAGAAAUGGCAAAAGAGAGCAAGCAUCCACUGACAUGACAUUUUACAUAGGAGGUGAAAAUCACUUCAGGCAAAAGGAAGGUUUGAAUGUGCAGCUUUGGAAGCUGAAGCUACCUGUAUUCCAAAUUUCAUUCAGUUAAGAUUUCAACAUAUGGAAAUGACAACUGCAAGUCUUGCUCUCUGUAGACAGGUUUGUUCUUGAAAUUCUUUAAAAGAUAGAUUUUGAACAGCAAUUUUUCAUGAAAUUUGGAUGAAGAUAAAAAGAAGGGCCUGAGACAAGCAACAAAACCAAAAUUAUUUCAGGUAGAGACAUCAUUUGAAGCUCUGAAACUGCCUGUCCCUAGUUCUGCCACAGUACCUGUGUGGCUGGUGUGGAGAAUUGAAUUUCAAAUGGAUUGAAAGCUGUGGAAAACACAUCACCCCUCAAACACUUCCCAGUCUAUCUGGAAGGCCAAGUGACUUGAUCCACAGUCCAGCAGUGUAUGAAAAAGCCUGUACCAUUGGAAGCAUCAAUGUUCUCCUGAUUCAAUGUAAAGCAAAAUCAUCAGGCAAAGAUCACAGGUGCUCACAGGAACAUAAAUUCAGUGAAAAUUACCCAGAGGUUGAAUUUAAUUGGCAAACACAGCAUUGUUUUGUCAGGUCUAAUAGUGACUCACCAUGUUAAAAGUCUAAAUGCAAUGGCACAGCAAAAUAAUAUUAAAAAAAAUAUGCGGUCAGGAAAAGCAUCACCAAAACCUCUCAAGGAAAUAUAUCUGCCAUUAAAGUGCUAAAAUAAACACUUUGCCAAAUAAGUUUUCA